CUUCAGUGAUGAUACGAUGACGAGUCAGAACGGGGCUUAUUCUGGUUCUGGGGGUUUCUGGUUCAGAGUCACGUUCUGUGGUUCUUUCCGGUUCCUCAGAGCAGGGGCUUCUUUACAGUUGAAGACAUUGAGGCAUUUGUCUGAGAAGG
ensembl:snoRNA SNORD15 Small nucleolar RNA SNORD15